AAUGAACGUUGGCGGCGUGGAUUAGGCAUGCAAGUCGCGCGAGAAGUCAUUUAGCUUGCUAAAAGACGGACAGCGGCGGAAAGGAGAGUAACGCGUGGUUAUGUACCCUCGAGACCGGGAUAGUGUCGGGAAACUGGCAGUAAUACCGGAUAACAUCUUCGGAUCAAAUGGUGUGAUUCCGCUCGAGGAUCGGACCGCGUACUAUUAGCUAGUUGGAGGGGUAAUGGCCCACCAAGGCUUAGAUGGUUACCGGGUGUGAGAGCAUGGCCCGGCUCACUGGGACUGAGACACUGCCCAGACAUCUACGGAUGGCUGCAGUCGAGAAUCUUCGGCAAUGGACGAAAGUCUGACCGAGCGACGCCGCGUGCGGGAUGAAGGCCUUCGGGUUGUAAACCGCUGUCAGUUAGGAGGAAAUCCAUGAGGGUUCUCUCUCAUGGUUGACCGAUUUUCAGAGGAAGGACGGGCUAAGUUCGUGCCAGCCGCCGCAGUAAGAC
rnacentral:rRNA from 1 species